rnacentral:rRNA from 1 species
GACGAACGCUGGCGGCGUGCUUAACACAUGCAAGUCGAACGGUGAAGCUCCAGCUUGCUGGAGUGGAUCAGUGGCGAACGGGUGAGUAACACGUGAGCAACCUGCCCCAGACUCUGGAAUAAGCGCUGGAAACGGCGUCUAAUACUGGAUACGAGAUCAAGCCGCAUGGUUAUGGUCUGGAAAGUUUUUCGGUUUGGGAUGGGCUCGCGGCCUAUCAGCUUGUUGGUGAGGUAAUGGCUCACCAAGGCGACGACGGGUAGCCGGCCUGAGAGGGCGACCGGCCACACUGGGACUGAGACGCGGCCCAGACUCCUACGGGAGGCAGCAGUGGGGAAUAUUGCACAAUGGGCGAAAGCCUGAUGCAGCGACGCCGCGUGAGGGAUGACGGCCUUCGGGUUGUAAACCUCUUUCAGCAGGGAAGAAGCGAAAGUGACGGUACCUGCAGAAGAAGCACCGGCUAACUACGUG